rnacentral:piRNA from 1 species
CAACAGGAUCCUUCUGCACACGUUUAUUGG